GAUGAACGCUGGCGGCGUGCCUAAUACAUGCAAGUCGAGCGAAUGGAUUAAGAGCUUGCUCUUAUGAAGUUAGCGGCGGACGGGUGAGUAACACGUGGGUAACCUGCCCAUAAGACUGGGAUAACUCCGGGAAACCGGGGCUAAUACCGGAUAACAUUUUGAACCGCAUGGUUCGAAAUUGAAAGGCGGCUUCGGCUGUCACUGAUGGAUGGACCCGCGUCGCAUUAGCUAGUUGGUGAGGUAACGGCUCACAAAGGCAACGAUGCGUAGCCGACCUGAGAGGGUGAUCGGCCACACUGGGACUGAGACACGGCCCAGACUCCUACGGGAGGCAGCAGUAGGGAAUCUUCCGCAAUGGACGAAAGUCUGACGGAGCAACGCCGCGUGGGUGAUGAAGGCUUUCGGGUCGUAAAACUCUGUUGUUAGGGAAGAACAAGUGCUAGUUGAAUAAGCUGGCACCUUGACGGUACCUAACCAGAAAGCCACGGCUAACUACGUGCCAGCAGCCGCCGUAA
rnacentral:rRNA from 1 species